rnacentral:tRNA from 1 species
GCCGAGGUAGCUCAGUGGUAGAGCGUCUGUCUGAAGAACAGAGCGUCGGCGGUUCGAUUCCGUCCCUCGGCA